GGUUAAUUAUAGUCACGAGAGCAGCAAUAACAACAGCAAAACUGAUCUUUAAGUGACAAUCAUCAUUAUCUCUAUUUUUUGAUUCCUCAAAGUGAAAAAAGAUUGAAAAUCAAAUGGACAUUGUCCAUUAGUUACUCACUGUUAUCUCAGCGUUCCCAGCACCUUGGAAGAAACAUUUCAUGGAAGUAACUCUAUUACAGCUGUGCUGUCUCUUUCUGCUCCUUUGUUGUUGAAAGAAAAAAACAAGAAGAAGACGAAAAAGAAAAAUAAAUAAAAUAAUAAUUAUA